GACGACGCUGGCGGCGUGGAUUAGGCAUGCAAGUCGAACGGUAGGAUCCUUUCGGGGAUCUGAGAGUGGCGAACGGGUGAGUAACACGUAGGUGAUCUACCCUCAAGACGGGGACAACCCAGGGAAACUUGGGCUAAUACCGGAUGUGAGCUAUCGCGAGAUAGUUUGAAAGGUGGCUUCGGCUGCCGCUUGAGGAUGAGCCUGCGUCCUAUUAGCUAGUUGGUGAGGUAACGGCUCACCGAGGCAGUGAUAGGUAGGCGGCCUUAACGGGUGGUCGCCCACACUGGGAUUGAGAUACGGCCCAGACUCCUACGGGAGGCAGCAGUCGAGAAUAGUCUACAAUGGUCGAAAGACUGAUAGUGCGACGCCGCGUGAACGAAGAAGCCCUUCGGGGUGUAAAGUUCUUUUAUAUGUGAGCAGUGACACCCAUAUUAAUAGUAUGGGUGUAGAGAUAUUAGCAUAUGAAUAAGCAACGGCUAACUCCGUG
rnacentral:rRNA from 1 species